GAUGAACGCUAGCGGCAGGCUUAAUACAUGCAAGUCGUGGGGCAGCAGGACUGUAGCAAUACAGUUGCUGGCGACCGGCAAACGGGUGCGGAACACGUACGCAACUUACCCUGAACUGGGGGAUAGCCCGGGGAAACCCGGAUUAAUACCCCGUAAUAUAAUGGAGUGGCAUCACUUUAUUAUUAAAGCUCCGGCGGUUCGGGAUGGGCGUGCGGCUGGUUAGGUAGUUGGUUGAGGUAACGGCUCACCAAGCCUACGAACAGUAACUGCUGUGAGAGCACGACACGUCACACGGGAACUGCGGCACGGGCCCGACUCCGAUGGGAGGCAGCAGUAAGGAAUGUUGGGCAAUGGAGGCUGCUCUGACCCAGCCAUGCCGCGUGGGGAAUGAAUGCCCUCUGGGUUGUAAACUUCUUUUAAAGAGGAAGAAACCUGUGUAUUCUUACACAGUUGACGGUACCCUAGGAGUAAGCACCGGCUAACUCCGUG
rnacentral:rRNA from 1 species